CCCCUGCGUGCACCCUGUGCCAUGCAGUGACCUGAGCCACCGCUCACCGCAGGUGUGACAGCGUUUGCAGUUUGAAUCUAAUGAAAUUAAUUGCCUGCUAAGUAGAAACAUUGAUUCUCUUCAGAGGAAUAUCACAGAAUUCCAGUGUCUUCACAAUGUAACGUUUGCAAUGUACAGGGUACAGUUCAAAAUCACUCAACAUAUGAAGAGCCAGGAAAAUGUGAGCCAUUCUCGAAGGGAAAGACAACAGAUAUCAAUUGUGUUAUGACCUAGCUGUUGGAAUAGUCAAAAAAGCACUUUGGAGCAGGUUUAGUGUCUGUGCUCAGUGAAGAAAAGGGAAAUGCACGCAUAAUGAACAAAGUGCCGGAAAUCUCAGCGAGGAAACAUGUUUAAAUGAGCCAAAUGGGAAUUUUAGGUCAAACAAACACAAGAUCUGGCUGGGCGUGAGCCACUGUGCUUGGCCAAGAUCUGAAAUUUUAAAAUUCACUGAAUGAACAUAACAGAAGGGAAAUAACAGAGAAAAUAGGCAGAGUCCUCAAAGACAGAGGAAUAGAAAUCAUCCAAGCUGGAAAAAAAAAAAAGGGUGGAAGUGAUUGGAGGAAAAUAAAACAAAACCAUGAACAGAGCCUCUGGGACCUGUAGGUGAUAUCUAAGCCUCAGGGACCUUAGGUGAUAUCAACAUGUCUAACACAUGGGUAAUUACAGAGGUCCAGGAGAGGAGAGGCACAGUGGACAGAAGUACUUGAAGAAACAGUAACCAGAAACUUUCAAAUUUGGUGAAAGACAUAAAUGUUUAGUUUUAAGAAUCCCAAACAGGAUAAAUGAGAAUAAAACCACACCUGGACCC
rnacentral:lncRNA from 1 species